rnacentral:rRNA from 1 species
GAUGAACGCUGGCGAUAUGCCUAACACAUGCAAGUCGAACGAGACCUUCGGGUCUAGUGGCGCACGGGUGCGUAACGCGUGGGAACCUGCCUUUAGGUUCGGAAUAACAGUGAGAAAUUACUGCUAAUACCGGAUAAGCCCUACGGGGGAAAGAUUUAUCGCCAAAGGAGCGGCCCGCGUCAGAUUAGGUAGUUGGUGGGGUAAAGGCCUACCAAGCCUACGAUCUGUAGCUGGUCUGAGAGGAUGAUCAGCCACACUGGGACUGAGACACGGCCCAGACUCCUACGGGAGGCAGCAGUGGGGAAUCUUGGACAAUGGGCGCAAGCCUGAUCCAGCCAUGCCGCGUGGAUGAUGAAGGCCUUAGGGUUGUAAAAUCCUUUCAACGGGGACGAUAAUGACGGUACCCGUAGAAGAAGCCCCGGCUAACUUCGUG